UGAUAGCAGUGUGACGAAUUUGCAGAUAGUAGCGAAGUAAAAAGAAGACAGAACGGGAUCGGACAGGAAAAAAACGCACCCCUAUCCCCUCACUACAACCCUGGUCAUCAACAAUACCUGGUCUGCGCCCCGAGUCCCUGUGUAUAAAUAAAUAAAGCAGCCAGAUACGGCACAGCACAGCUUAUGUGGCAGCUGAGCUACUAGUAGUAAUAAGAAUCAGAGAUACAAGAGAGUAGAGUAGUUGUUAUGGAGAAGGAGAAAGGGACUAUCACUACGACCAACAAUAAUAACAAGAUAGAGAGGGGGCACCAGAUGUACCGUGAGGGGCGUUACAGGGAAGCAUUAGGGUUUUACACGGACGCGAUCGCCCUCGCUAAAACCAAACCCCACAAGAUCGCUCUCCACAGCAAUCGCGCUGCUUGUUACCUCAAACUUCACCAUUUCAAAAAGGCAGCAGAAGAGUGUACCUCAGUGCUUGAGCUUGAUCAAAACCACAGUGGGGCAUUGAUGCUGAGGGCUCAAACACUAGUCACCUUGAAGGAGUACCAUUCAGCGCUUUUUGAUGUCAAUAGACUUUUAGAGUUGAACCCAUCCUCAGAAGUAUAUCAAAAUCUUCACGCUCGCUUGAAGACACAGUUGACACUUGCUCCAAUACCAGAGUCAGAAGAGGAGUUUGAAGAGCAGGAAGAAGAAUCAGAAGACAGUCCUGAGGUCAUACUAGGAGGAGAGAAUAAUGAGGAAUCAAUGGGAGGUAAGUACUUGGCAACUUCGGAUAUUAGAAUUGAUCAGAAGGUUGAACUCCGGAAAGAUAUCGUAAGUGCUGAAUGUGCUUCUCAAGAUACAAAAUCCAAGUUCCCAUCCAAAGAUGGAAGAGACCAGAACAGUGAGGCUGAAAAGUCAAAAGCAGAGGCUGUAGCACCUAAAGCACUGAACAGGGAAUCAACCGAGCAACAAACGAAAGGAUGGCAAAUGAUUCCAAAACCGAAAGGGCAUUCAGCUCUGGACUAUGCACGAUGGGACAGUGUUGAAGAUGAUUCUAGUGAAGACGACGACGAAAAUGAAGAUGAAGAAUCUUUGCCACAGUACCGGUUCCGCGUAAAAACGGUGGGGGUACGGCCUGUCAAGUGAUAUGUAAAUUCUAGUACAAGGUACCUCUAAAAUGGCUUUGCUGUUCAAGUACGGAACAUAGAAGUGACUUCUUAUGGACUAGAACGGGCUGGUUCCCUAGUUGGAAUAGCUGAAUCAUGUGGUUUUCUCUUGAAGAUCUACAAUUUUGUUACUAGAGUUAUCAGUCGAUAUGGUUGUCGAUGAUCAUGAGCUAUAUAAACUCGAAGUUAACAGUAACAUCCUCAGUGCCUCCCUUUGAAGCAACUGAGUUCCUGAUCUCCAGGUCUGUUUGCAUUUUCUUCUGAUACUGAAGUUCGAGAGUUGUGCUUCCUUAAUAGACGAGGUAGAGUCUUUCAGCUGUUGAGGGCCAAAGAGCAUCAUUCAUACCAUUACAACAGGUACCACCACUUACCUUCUCACGAAGAACUCGGACGGCGACACCUCGACACCAGUAGAUGUUGGACGCUGCCUCAAAAGGAGUUUGGACCUCAUGCUCAGGCCCAAAGCAACCCAGUUUCAGGUAACCCACGGAAUAUUGACGCCAUUGCUGGGGACCCGCAAGUCUACACCCAAUCAUGGCAAAUAAUCGUCUUAAAGACGGACAUAUGGCAUCCGAAUCCGAGCUAGAAUAUCACAACGACGAUCGUGCGUUUGUAGUACCUCCACGACAAGAUUGAACAAAUGACCACAAUGGGGAGGGCCUUCACAAAACCCUCAAGGUAGAAGAAUAAAUUCGAAAAUCCAACCACUUGAGGACAUGGUAAACCAAAACUCGGCAGAACAUAUGGGUUUGGUGCAUGGACACUAGGAAUGUAAAACCCGGUUAAUUAACGGCUAAUUAACCUAUAAAUGAGAAUUUAUUCUAGAAAGCCUGAAAUGUGAUUUUUAUGGCUUAAUGUGAUAGAGGAGAUUGAGACGAGAAUUUCGGUACCAAUUUUAUAGAAUUCGGACCAAGAUUGGACCGAACGGGCCAAACCGUGCCAACCGGACCCAAAGUGGGCCCUUGGCCCAACAUAACUUAACCAAAACCCUAGUUUUCAGCACUCUCUCUCCUCAUUACACACACAAACACGCUGAAUUAGAGGGAAGGGGGGAGAAGAACACUCUCUCAAACCUCUAUCUCUCACUUGAUCUUCAAACCACCAUAACUUUUGAUCUAGAGCUCCGAUUGCCGCUCCGUUUGCGGUCACGCGUUCACCGCGGAGAGCUCUACAAAACCCAUACAACUAAUC